rnacentral:rRNA from 1 species
UGCGUAGGCGGCCCGCCAAGUGCUUUGUGAAAUCCCCGAGCUCAACUCGGGAACAGCAGGGCAAACUGGCGGGCUUGAAGCAGGUAGGGGCUGGAAGAACAGUAGGUGGAGCGGUGAAAUGCGUAGAUAUCUACUGGAAUGCCGAUGGGAAGCCGUCCAGCUGGGCCUGUCUUGACGCUGAGGCAGAAAGCGUGGGGAGCAAACA